UCCUACGAGGACGUGAAUGUAGAUUUGAAGAAUAAGAGCGAACUUUUACUCCAAUCCAAUCCCAUCUACAAGAAAAUCCCGGUGCUUCUCCAUGCAGGUCGUGCCAUAUGUGAGUCUCUGAUCAUCGUAGACUACAUCGAUGCCACCUGGAAUUCCACAUCUAUCUUGCCGCUCGACCCUUAUGACUGCUCCGUCGCAAAGUUCUGGGCCGUCUUUAUAGAUGACAAGGCAUGGCAUGCACCACUACUACUCAUCAUUCUAUGUUUGAUUUUUCCAGCUUGGACUGAUCAACGAGUUCAUUUAUCUAAUUAUAUAUUUACAGAUACCGUCAGCUAUUCAAGGAGCGGUGAUUGGGCUGACGGAGGUGGCGAAGGCAAAACAUGUGGAGGAAUUUCACUCAGUCUUGAAAAUUCUGGAGACCGUUUUGGCCAAGUGUGGUGAAGGAAAGAGCUUCUUCGGAGGGGAUGACCUUGGCUAUGUCGACAUCGUCUUGGGUUCAUUCUUGAGUUGGAUUAGAGCAGCCGAGAUAUUAACGGAGCUUAAGUUUUUAGAUGAGGAGAAGACACCACUUUUGGUGAGCUGGGCUGAACGCUUCUGUGCUCAUUCCGCCGUCAAGGAUCUGAUACCGGAGCCGGAAAAGUUGGUUGAGAUUUCCCCGUUUGUCAAGGUGUUAUGGAAGUCAAAGAUAGAAGCAACCAUAGUUACCGCCGGAGGUGUCCUGCCAGCUUAAUAAAUGCAUUAAAAUUGAAAUGUUGUUUCACUUUCUACCUUUCUAGCUAUCAGGAGUGAAAAUUGUGAAUGAGUCAAUAAAUCAAUAACUUUAUUAUCUAAUAAAUUAAUUAACUUUUGCUUAUAAAAUCGAAUUGUCCAAACUCAAGACUUAUACUCGAACUUGUUUGGUUUACUGUAUAUCGAUUACAAAACUCAUCGUGUCCCACUCCGGUAAAUACUCGCCGGGGUAAGCCACCACAUACCAUUGUCGGAGAGAUUGGAGGAUGGUCGAAACCAAAGUUAUUGCUUGGAGAAGAUGGUCAGUGGAUCAUGAACAUGUACCUUGCAACCAAUCCGAGACCGAGAGCUUUACAGAGUUUAACGGAAAAAUAAUUCCAACUUCAUGAACAGUAAUGGUGGAACCAAAGUUACUGCUAGGAUUUGAUUUUAUAAUCCUUCCGUGAUGAAUUGGAACUUCCGUGAUGGAAGAGUCAACAUGUCAAAUUAAAUUUUUCUUUAAAAAUCCAUUAUCCCUUCUGAUCCAGUGAUCCAGUGAUCCUCAUGGCCGGAGAAGAUGUAAAGGUGUUGGGGUUCUGGUCGAGUUCUUUUGUGUUGCAGACAAGAAUUGCUCUGAAAAUCAAAGAUGUUUCCUAUGAGUACGUAGAGGAAGACCUGAUGAUGAACAAGAGUGAGCUUUUACUACAGUCCAACCCCAUCUACAAGAAAGUCCCGGUGCUUCUCCACGCCGGUCGUGCCAUAUGUGAGUCUCAGAUCAUCGUCGAAUACAUUGAUACCACCUGGAAUUCCCCGCCUAUCUUGCCGCUCGACCCUUAUGACCGCUCCUUCGCAAAGUUCUGGGCCGUCUUUAUAGAUGACAAGGCAUGGCAUGCACCACUACUACUCAUCAUUCUAUGUUUGAUUUUUCCAGCUUGGUCUGAUUAACGAGUUCAUUUAUCGAAUUAUAUAUUUACAGAUACCGUCAGCUAUUCAAGGAGCGGUGAUUGGGCUGACGGAGGUGGCG
rnacentral:lncRNA from 1 species